rnacentral:rRNA from 1 species
CCUACGGGAGGCAGCAGUGGGGAAUAUUGCACAAUGGGGGAAACCCUGAUGCAGCGACGCCGCGUGAAGGAAGAAGUAUUUCGGUAUGUAAACUUCUAUCAGCAGGGAAGAAACUGACGGUACCUGACUAAGAAGCACCGGCUAAAUACGUGCCAGCAGCCGCGGUAAUACGUAUGGUGCAAGCGUUAUCCGGAUUUACUGGGUGUAAAGGGAGCGUAGACGGAGAGGCAAGUCUGAAGUGAAAGCCCGGGGCUCAACCCCGGGACUGCUUUGGAAACUGCAGUUCUAGAGUGCCGGAGAGGUAAGCGGAAUUCCUAGUGUAGCGGUGAAAUGCGUAGAUAUUAGGAGGAACACCAGUGGCGAAGGCGGCUUACUGGACGGUGACUGACGUUGAGGCUCGAAAGCGUGGGGAGCAAACAGGAUUAGAUACCCUUGUAGUC